CAUUGAACGCAAGAAACAAAAGUUCACACACGCUAGUAAACAAAAUACAAGAUUGGGGUGGGGGGAUUUUUUUCGCAGGAAAUGGACGCCGUCGAGAAGAUGAAGUCAGUGUUUGAACACUUGAAGACGCAGAUCUACGAGUGAGUUUAAUUUCACCCAUAUCCCUCAAUCUAAGCCACUUUCUAAAAUCCCUCAAUCUUCAUCUCCCUCAAUCUAAGUAUCUUCUUCCCACACCGUUCUCUUCUCCCUCUUCAAAGCGACAGUUCAUCUUCUCUUGGGAAACAGCCUAUUUUAGAUCUGACCCGCUCCAAAACGCCGUUCGCACGAGGCCGACACGCUACCAAGGUUGGGUUUUUUUUUUCUUUUCCUUUUCUUUUAACAAUCGAAAUCAAAAUUUAACUAAAGGAGAAGGGGAAGGAAUCGAUGGGGGUUUUGGGAGACAAGAGUAGCUGGUGCUUCUGCUCCGGCGGCGGUAAAUCGGAGAGAGUCAAGGGGAGCAUAUUUUCCGGCAAGUCGCCGGCGAUGGCUGAAAUCUCUGGCGGAUGAAAUGAGUCCUCAUUCACCGGAGUCUUCUGCUCACUACGCAUACUAACAUCCCGUCGGUGGCGGUGGCGGAGACCGCGGAGGUUCGAAUCAAUCGCCGCCGAGAUUUGGCUUGCUUAGUACCUCUCAGAGAGGAAGAACAAAGAGGCCGAGAAGGGCACAGGCAGCAAAUAAAAAGUGAAAGAAACAGGACAUUCUUAUGUGCCAUCGGUCUUCCGCUACCCCUAAAUUCUCUCUUUUUUGGUACUAAUGAACAUUAGAUGAUAUCACUCGAGACAAUGAAACUAACGAAUAUCAUGUGACAUAGGAUACUAAUAGAAGUCUCUUAUAUGCAUGCAAUGAUGUGAGGUGAAUCUUAGUCAGUCAAGUGUGGCUAUGAGGCUCGGAUUUUGUCUGAAAUACCAAGAUUCCCUUCAUUUAGAUAUAUUCUUCAAAAUUGCUAAAUCUUCAUUAUGGAAAAGUGAGUUUUGUUUUCAACUAUCUCUGACUCUUUAGCAGAUUUAUUGUCUAUAAACGGAGUCUGGGACAUAUUGGGUUAGUUUGUAAUCAGUGUAAGAAAUUUAAGUUUUGCCAAAAGUAAGUUUCUCCUAGCAAUCCAUAGCUUACUGUUGAUGCAAAAUUUUAGUGUUUUAAAUGUUCAAUUGCAUGGCAACUAAUUUAUAUUAAGAGAACCUGCAUGUUAGUUUAUGCAAAAUUUUAGGGAUUUUUUAAUGUUAAUCUUAUUAUUUUCUUUUAAUUGGAAUU